GUGCUCGCUUUGGCAACACAUAUACUAAAAUUGGAAUGAUACAGAGAAGAUUAGCAUGGCCAAAAGCAAAGAAGUUUCCUGAAUAAACUGAAUGCUUU
rnacentral:snRNA from 1 species